AGAGAGCAGCAGGUCAUUGCUUUAGCUUUAGCUUUACUUAUUGGUGUUUCUUUCUCUUUAUUGAUGAUCCAUAGAGAAUAUUUUCUUGUUUUUUUUGGCUUUAAUGUGCCUUUUAUUCUCAUAAUUUCUAUUUUUAUCUAACAUUAUUAUGCAUUUGAUGCAGAGUCUGCCCCAAGGAUAAACUUUAAAUGCCUUCUCAAUUGGAGGUCUAAACCUUCCGUUCUGCCUUCUAAAUCCAAUUCUACCAAUUAUGAGUUCCUGUUUGGGGUGAAAAGUUUUGGAAUAAAUGGUAAUGAUGGUUUCACAGUGUUAUGAAGCCCAGCAAAGACAGAGAGAAGAUAUUCCUGAUCUGACUCAUAGGGGACCUCAUAGAAUUCUGCCAACUAACUCAAGUGGUGGUCACAGGUUGGCAGCAUCUUCCGACUGAGAUGUGCAAUCUAAUCUAGAGUGGGAAGGAUUCCUUUAAACAGAAUUGAAGGUGAGCAGGAAGCAUGCUCUUGCCAUGGGUGUGGGUGCUGGGUGCCCCUGUUUUGUGGGUAAAUGGGAGGGGCGUGUCCUGAAAGCUGUGGCCUUUUUCCCAGGUGGGAAGGCUUGUGGCCUAGGGAAGUUUUACACUGUAAGCCCAGAACUGCCCAAGACCCAGCUAGCUGUUGCCAGGAGAAGUCUAGGGGCGUGAGAUCCACCAUAUCAAGGACAGGGGAGCAGGGCACGCCUCACUGCUGCUUGUUACACCCCUCUCUCAUGCCAAUUCUUUUGAGCAGCAGAGGCAGUUUAACUCCUCCCUGGAGCACUACUUCAGUACACAGGAAACUGCCUUCCAAUCCCCAUUGGCUUGUGUCCACAUGUGGGUAGCCAGAAUGUGGACUUUCCUCACUCAUCUAACAUUGCCCCUCAACUGGCCUUUGUAGCAUAACACAAUAAAAAUGACUAUUGGGAGGCUCAUGGCCCCACUCAUCACCUGGAAGAUCUGAGUACUUGGCCUGGGUAGCAUAAGCCAAGCAUAAAUUCCACAGCCGCCACUGCCUGGCCCUCUUCGGCAAGCACCAUCUCUUGGCCAGAGGUCACCUCACACAGCCCAUUACAACAUCUGCUGACACAGUAACACAGCACUCAGGAAUGAAAAAUACUUUGUGCAACCUCAGCUAACACCAUUGCCCACACCACCGUGGCUACUCAGGGCCUUAAGCCUAUUUAUGCAUCCAGUACAUUACUACUACAGCUAGUAACUGAGAAAGCCACCGCAUUAAGGGUAUUUACAACUAAUGGCAUCUUAUAGAGUUUAUGCCACUCUCCUGCACCACCCAUCUGAGGAGAUGCAUGCACCUGCUACUGGGAGACCAGAGGACAGGUCAUCCCAGUGUAGCUCCACACUAUAUUAUCCUCUUCUGGAGCUAAGAACAGAGCUCAAGCCACUACAAGUCCGCCAGACUUGUCCAUAGCCUGAGGCAUUGGAUAGCUUAUCCAGGUGACUAACUAGAGACAUUGGUGACUAAUUAUCCUCAGAAGGAAGAACCUAUACUAGAAGUGAAUAAUAAUAGCCCAAGCAGAGUGCUAAGGGGAGAGUGCUGGAACCUAUAAGAAAGUUAAUUGGAAGGAUCUAUGAUACACACAGAAAGAAAGUAAGAAGAAGCUGGCAAAGAUCAAACCCUGAGAGACUUCGUAUUCUGUGGAAAAGACAGAUUCUUCAGUGAUAUUCCAGAAGAAGGCAUUGUUAUUAUACAAGAAGAAAGCUCCACAAAUGUGAUUACCCCUGAAGAUCUUCUUGUGGGACAAGAUGUGAAGAGGGAAGGCAGUUAUAUUGAAUAUCUUGAACCUGUGUAGGCCUAAACUACUAUGUGUGCUUGUGCCUUGUUUCUAAUAAUAAAAGUUAAAAAGUUUAAAAAAAUAAAAAUUAAAAAUAGCAAACAAAUCUUAUAGAAUAAGGGUAUAAGUAAAGAUAUUUUUGUGCAACUGUACAAUGUGUUUGUGUUUUCAGCUAAGUGUUAUUACAAAAGAGUCAAAAGUUAAAAAAAAUAAAAAGUUUAUAAAGUAAAAAAGUUGCAGUAAGUUAAG
rnacentral:lncRNA from 1 species